rnacentral:rRNA from 1 species
AUUGAACGCUGGCGGCAUGCCUUACACAUGCAAGUCGAACGGCAGCACGGGUGCUUGCACCUGGUGGCGAGUGGCGAACGGGUGAGUAAUACAUCGGAACAUGUCCUGUAGUGGGGGAUAGCCCGGCGAAAGCCGGAUUAAUACCGCAUACGAUCUACGGAUGAAAGCGGGGGACCUUCGGGCCUCGCGCUAAAGGGUUGGCCGAUGGCUGAUUAGCUAGUUGGUGGGGUAAAGGCCUACCAAGGCGACGAUCAGUAGCUGGUCUGAGAGGACGACCAGCCACACUGGGACUGAGACACGGCCCAGACUCCUACGGGAGGCAGCAGUGGGGAAUUUUGGACAAUGGGCGAAAGCCUGAUCCAGCAAUGCCGCGUGCGUGAAGAAGGCCUUCGGGUUGUAAAGCACUUUUGUCCGGAAAGAAAUCCUUGGCCCUAAUACGGUCGGGGGAUGACGGUACCGGAAGAAUAAGCACCGGCUAACUACGUG